AGGACCUGGACGUGAGCACCCUGCACCGCACCGAGCUGGAGGUGAAGCUCAAGGGGCUCCAGGAGCUGAUGGAGCUCAAGAAAUCCAUCUACGAGCAGGAGCUGCUGGAGCUGC